UACGAAUGGGGCAAGCGUUGUUCGGAAUCACUGGGCUUAAAGCGUGCGCAGGCGGUUAUGAAAGUCAGAAGUGAAAUCCCCGGGCUCAACCCGGGAAUUGCUUUUGAAACUCCAUAACUAGAAUCCCGGAGAGGUUAGCAGAAUUCCGAGUGUAGAGGUGAAAUUCGCAGAUAUUCGGAGGAAUACCAGUGGCGAAGGCGGCUAACUGGACGGGCAUUGACGCUCAGGCACGAAAGCGUGGGUAGCAAACAGG
rnacentral:rRNA from 1 species